UAAUUAACUUGAGGAUGUUUCACCCUGAGCAGUGAGGGUCUAAGUACCUACAGGGGUGGAGACAGGAUGGCAACGUGAUGUUGUUAUUGUUGUUUUCUGCAAAGAAGGGUUGUGGAAAAACAAGAUGGAGAAGGUGAGAAAAUGAAAGUGGAAGAUCUGGAAUAUCUGGGUCAAUGGAUAAAGAUGGAAGGAUAGAGAAAGGCUUUCUAAUCCUCCCCAACUUUCCAUGUGGUACCCUCCCCGCAACUUCCAGAAUUAUUUAACACCGUGAGAGUCGCAUCCAACAAAUAUUUGUUGCU
rnacentral:lncRNA from 10 species